UUCUCCUUCAAAAAUAAUCCAUUUUCUUUUUCAAAACCAUAUCCAGGUUUUUCUUGUUUUUCUUGUAGUGAGAGUGUUGUUUUAUGAUUGUUAUCCUGAAUCGAUAUCUGUUUGCGUUAUGGUUCUGAGUUGAUGUUGAAUAUGGAAGCUUCUGUUGCUAAGAAGAACUUCGUGAACCUUUGUUGCAAUGCUGUUACAUGGUGGUUUCAAGUCAAAAAGGGGCAUUCUCUCUGCCAUAGAUGUGCUUGACAACCAUGCUUUGAUUGGGGAAUUGUUGUGAAGUCGCCAGAAUUUGGAACUACUUGGAAAAAAGAAGAAUGAUGUAAUGACUUAAAUCGCACCAUUUCCCUUUGGAGAAACUUACAGGCAGGUUACAUUCUUACAUAAGUUUUCUAUUAUAAUGAUAGUGAAAGAUAUUUACGAGGUUCUAGAAAUUGUCAAUUUAUUUCAUUUCUA